GCAAGACCUCAUUGUUAAGAGUUUUGGCAGGUCUUUGGAAUGUUGGAAAAGGAAAAAUCACGUUUUAUAUAAAAGACUAUCCGGAGCAGUUAGUUUCUCAAAAUGGAUUGCAAACCGAAGCACAUACAGGAGAAGAUGUAUCCAAAGAAAAUAGUAGACCACUCAACAAGAAUUAUCGAGGGAUAUUUUUCCUUCCUCAAAGACCAUAUAUGGUU
rnacentral:misc_RNA from 1 species